rnacentral:rRNA from 1 species
UACGGAGGGUCCGAGCGUUAUCCGGAAUCAUUGGGUUUAAAGGGUCCGUAGGCGGACAAUUAAGUCAGUGGUGAAAGUCUGCAGCUCAACUGUAGAAUUGCCAUUGAUACUGGUUGUCUUGAAUCGUUGUGAAGUGGCUAGAAUAUGUGGUGUAGCGGUGAAAUGCUUAGAUAUCACAUAGAAUACCGAUUGCGAAGGCAGGUCACUAACAACGUAUUGACGCUGAUGGACGAAAGCGUGGGGGGCGAACAGGAUUAGAUACCCUGGUAGUCCACGCCGUAAACGAUGGAUACUAGCUGUCCGGCACACAUUGGUGUGCUGGGUGGCCCAGCGAAAGUGAUAAGUAUCCCACCUGGGGAGUACGUUCGCAAGAAUGAA